GACGAACGCUGGCGGCGUGCCUAAUACAUGCAAGUAGAACGCUGGAGGAGGAGCUUGCUUCUCCGGAUGAGUUGCGCACGGGUGAGUAACGCGUAGGUAACCUGCCUGGUAGCGGGGGAUAACUAUUGGCAACGAUAGCUAAUACCGCAUAACAGUAGAUGUUGCAUGACAUUUGCUUAAAAGCUGCAAUUGCAUCACUACCAGAUGGACCUGCGUUGUAUUAGCUAGUUGGUGAGGUAACGGCCCACCAAGGUGACGAUACAUAGCCGACCUGGGAGGGUUGACCGCCACACUUGGACUGGGACACGGCCCAGACUUCUACGGGGAGGAGCAGGAGGGGAACUUCGGCAAAGGACGGAAGGCUUACCGAGGAACGGCGCGUGGGGGGAGGAGGUUUUCGGAUCGGUAAGGUCUGUUGUAAGGGAAGAACGAGUGUGAGAGUGGAAAGUUCACACUGUGACGUUAUCUUAACAGAAAGGGACGGCUAACUACGUG
rnacentral:rRNA from 1 species